UUGAAAAAUUUAUAUUUAAAAAGAAAAAUUUAUUUUUUGUACCUUGUGUAUCAGGGUUUAUUAAAAAAUUAAUAAUUAUUUAUUAAUCUCGAUUUUAUAAGAGUUAAUAAUUUAUGAAAGUUAAUAUAUUAUAAUUAUUUUUUAUAAAUUGUUGGAAAUGAAAGGUUAUUCGUUUAUGAAGAUAUCUAGUUUUUUUAGAAAUAAAUUCAAUUUAUAAAUUUUUAAGUUUUUUUUUAUUAAAUUAAUUAAAAAAAAUUAUUAAUUUAGAUAUUUUAAGGGAUAAGCUUUAAAAUAAAUUAUUAUAAAUUAAGUAAAUUAUUAUUUAAAAUAUAUGCAUAGAAUUAGCAAUUAUUAUUGAUAUUGUUAUAAAUUAUUUUUAUUUUUAUAUUAUUUAUUAAUUUUUAAUUAUUUAUAAAAAUUUUUAUUUUAAUUUAUUUUAUAAAUAAAUAAUGAUAAAAUUAGUAUAUAUGUAUAUUAUGUAUAAAUAAUUUUAUUUGAUAAGUUUAUAUAAAGAACUCGGCAAAUAUUUAUACUCGCCUGUUUAACAAAAACAUGUCUUUUUGAGUUAAUUUUAAAGUCUGACCUGCCCAAUGAAAUAUUUUAAUGGCCGCAGUAUUUUAACUGUGCAAAGGUAGCAUAAUCAUUAGUCUUUUAAUUGAAGGCUUGUAUGAAUGGUUGGACGAAGUAUAAACUGUUUCAUAUAAAUUUAUUAUAGAAUUUUAUAUUUUAGUGAAAAAGCUAAAAUAUUAUUAAAAGACGAGAAGACCCUAUAAAUCUUUAUAUUUUAUUUUAUUUAAAUUUUUUAGAUUAUUUAUAUUUAUAUAAAUUAAAUUAUUUUGUUGGGGUGAUAUUAAAAUUUAUUUAACUUUUAAUUUAAUAAAAUCAUUAAUUUAUGAUUUAUUGAUCCAUUAAUAGUGAUUAUAAGAAUAAGUUACUUUAGGGAUAACAGCGUAAUUUUUUUGGAGAGUUCUUAUUGAUAAAAAAGUUUGCGACCUCGAUGUUGGAUUAAGAUAUAAAUUUAGGUGUA
rnacentral:rRNA from 1 species